GCACACGUGGCAGGACUUUUAUAUCUCGCUUCGGCAUCGCGCCAUCGCGCAAAACACGGAGAUCGAACCGCUCGCUUAAAACCGACCAACGUCAUCGCGGGGGCGCGAUUUUUUUCGCACUUCGGCGAUUAUUUUCGGAUCGAAUGCGCUAUAUUCCGAGAAGGAGAAGCGAGCGGUUACGCGAGCUUUGCAGCAGCAAAGAAGUGCGCUGAAAGAAGGAUUUCGUAAGAUUUGAUCGUUGGACAGCCUCAACUAAAUUGUUUGAUUACUCAAAUCAAAUCACUUAGCACUGUGGUACAGCACAUAGUACUAAAUGAUUUGAUUACAGUAACCAGACAAUUUUAGUCGAGACUAUUUAACCAGACCUUAUAUAAGUCAUUGUCACGAAAUCCUUCAUUCGGUCCGUAAAGCGUCGAAGUAUUUUCGACGGUGCGAUCGUUCAUAGGGAAACUACGGUACACUGGAGUCGAUUUCAUUGAUUGUAAUAAGUAAUUUAUAAAUUGGGCACCUAAGAAAGAGUCACUCGCGGUCGCAAUAUCUUCCAGUCGCGGUGAGAGACGCGCUAAUGACUCCGGGCGAUCAUUCGGGACUUCGCGUCGGCGGGUCGCACGUGCAAAAUUGGCCGCGAUCAAUCAGCAACGAUGCGGCUAUUCAGCAGCCCUGUAUCGGUUUACACGCGCGCGGAGCUAAUCGCGACUUCGCCAAUUACCGAUAUGCAUGGCCGCGCGUCAGUCGUAAUAAUCCCCGGCGCGUCGAUCGCACGUGCGUCGAGCAUCACGAGGACAAUGUAUAGCGCGCUAGCUGAUACGUGGCGGUGUUAAAAAAGAUAGACGCGUGCGCGAUAGACACAAUCGAAUCUUACGGGGCGUAGUGCCAGGACGCGAGAGAAGAGAGAAAGAAAUAUCCGCGCGAGCGCUGCCAAAUGUUUCGCGGCGCCGCUAUUAAGCGAGCGCAUCCGCAUGCACUCACCACCGACGCCCACACCGCCGCCGCUGAUCGAGCGGUGAUGCGCGACACGAUCUGAAAUCGCACGGUCAGGUCGCGAAGAGAAAAUUGCUCGAGUCCGGGAACGUGAGUCAUACCAGGGUGGCGGCCGCCAUGAAAAAGAAUUCCCCCAAGGGAAGAACACCGAGGGGAUGUAUCCCUCGAGAUUCAAAUCUAAUCAAUCGAGGGAUCCAAAGAAUAUCUCGACAAGAUUGACAGUGUGGCUUCGAUUAUUUAGGUCUGACUUAGGUGGAACCGUUAAAAUCAGACAAACGGUUGGAUAAACAAGCGAAUGGAAGGAUCGAAUUUUCGUCUCUCGCUCACCCGCAGCCACCCGUUCGCUACGCGAUCGUUGCUUCUCCUCUGCCAUUGUGUGGCACAUGUGUCGCGCACGUGGGGUGGAAAGAGAUGAUGACGAUCACGGGGGGAAUGUACCGGACGAGCGGCAUUGUGCGGUUCCUAUAGGAGUCAAGAUUUUGGAGCGAUUGAGGAGAAUUUCCUGAAUUUUCUCAUCAAAUGCCAGGUGUUUACAUUCUCUAAUUCGGUCACCGGAAAAUUGCUGCAUCUACAUUUGCCGUGCAAGCUUACAGAGCAGUAAUUGUAACUCCUCCUGGCUGAGGCAGUAUUUUUCGCAACGCUUACAAUAUAAAGUAGCGUUUGACAUGGAAAUAAAGGUUACUCACUCUACACUCGUGUAUCACACAAGUCUAGAAAAAUAGUCCGGUGCAAAUGUUACACUAUCUGAUAAUUUUAUCCUCCCGCUAAGAUUCGUAAAUUUUCGCGGCCAACGUCUAGCGUCAGGCUCUUAUUUGCUUAUCGCUCGCAUUGUCCCGAUUAA